GGGUUGUGAGGUUAAGCGACUAAGCGUACACGGUGGAUGCCCUGGCAGUCAGAGGCGAUGAAGGACGUGCUAAUCUGCGAAAAGCGUCGGUAAGGUGAUAUGAACCGUUAUAACCGGCGAUGUCCGAAUGGGGAAACCCAGUGCAAUUCGUUGCACUAUCGUUAACUGAAUACAUAGGUUAACGAGGCGAACCGGGGGAACUGAAACAUCUAAGUACCCCGAGGAAAAGAAAUCAACCGAGAUUCCCCCAGUAGCGGCGAGCGAACGGGGAGCAGCCCAGAGUCUGAAUCAGCUUGUGUGUUAGUGGAACGGUCUGGAAAGUCCGACGGUACAGGGUGAUAGUCCCGUACACCAAAAUGCACAGGCUGUGAACUCGAAGAGUAGGGCGGGACACGUGGUAUCCUGUCUGAAUAUGGGGGGACCAUCCUCCAAGGCUAAAUACUCCUGACUGACCGAUAGUGAACCAGUACCGUGAGGGAAAGGCGAAAAGAACCCCGGCGAGGGGAGUGAAAAAGAACCUGAAACCGUGUACGUACAAGCAGUGGGAGCACCUUCGGGUGUGACUGCGUACCUUUUGUAUAAUGGGUCAGCGACUUAUAUUCUGUAGCAAGGUUAACCGUAUAGGGGAGCCGCAGGGAAACCGAGUCUUAACUGGGCGUUAAGUUGCAGGGUAUAGACCCGAAACCCGGUGAUCUAGCCAUGGGCAGGUUGAAGGUUGGGUAACACUAACUGGAGGACCGAACCGACUAAUGUUGAAAAAUUAGCGGAUGACUUGUGGCUGGGGGUGAAAGGCCAAUCAAACCGGGAGAUAGCUGGUUCUCCCCGAAAGCUAUUUAGGUAGCGCCUCGUGAACUCAUCUUCGGGGGUAGAGCACUGUUUCGGCUAGGGGGUCAUCCCGACUUACCAACCCGAUGCAAACUACGAAUACCGAAGAAUGUUAUCACGGGAGACACACGGCGGGUGCUAACGUCCGUCGUGAAGAGGGAAACAACCCAGACCGCCAGCUAAGGUCCCAAAGUCAUGGUUAAGUGGGAAACGAUGUGGGAAGGCACAGACAGCCAGGAUGUUGGCUUAGAAGCAGCCAUCAUUUAAAGAAAGCGUAAUAGCUCACUGGUCGAGUCGGCCUGCGCGGAAGAUGUAACGGGGCUAAACCAUGCACCGAAGCUGCGGCAGCGACACUAUGUGUUGUUGGGUAGGGGAGCGUUCUGUAAGCCUGCGAAGGUGACCUGUGAGGGUUGCUGGAGGUAUCAGAAGUGCGAAUGCUGACAUAAGUAACGAUAAAGCGGGUGAAAAGCCCGCUCGCCGGAAGACCAAGGGUUCCUGUCCAACGUUAAUCGGGGCAGGGUGAGUCGACCCCUAAGGCGAGGCCGAAAGGCGUAGUCGAUGGGAAACAGGUUAAUAUUCCUGUACUUGGUGUUACUGCGAAGGGGGGACGGAGAAGGCUAUGUUAGCCGGGCGACGGUUGUCCCGGUUUAAGCAUGUAGGCUGGUUGUCCAGGCAAAUCCGGAUAAUCAAGGCUGAGGUGUGAUGACGAGGCACUACGGUGCUGAAGUAACAAAUGCCCUGCUUCCAGGAAAAGCCUCUAAGCAUCAGGUAACAUCAAAUCGUACCCCAAACCGACACAGGUGGUCAGGUAGAGAAUACCAAGGCGCUUGAGAGAACUCGGGUGAAGGAACUAGGCAAAAUGGUGCCGUAACUUCGGGAGAAGGCACGCUGGUGUGUAGGUGAAGUCCCUGCGGAUGGAGCUGAGACCAGUCGAAGAUACCAGCUGGCUGCAACUGUUUAUUAAAAACACAGCACUGUGCAAACACGAAAGUGGACGUAUACGGUGUGACGCCUGCCCGGUGCCGGAAGGUUAAUUGAUGGGGUUAUCCGUAAGGAGAAGCUCUUGAUCGAAGCCCCGGUAAACGGCGGCCGUAACUAUAACGGUCCUAAGGUAGCGAAAUUCCUUGUCGGGUAAGUUCCGACCUGCACGAAUGGCGUAAUGAUGGCCAGGCUGUCUCCACCCGAGACUCAGUGAAAUUGAACUCGCUGUGAAGAUGCAGUGUACCCGCGGCAAGACGGAAAGACCCCGUGAACCUUUACUAUAGCUUGACACUGAACAUUGAGCCUUGAUGUGUAGGAUAGGUGGGAGGCUUUGAAGCGUGGACGCCAGUCUGCGUGGAGCCAACCUUGAAAUACCACCCUUUAAUGUUUGAUGUUCUAACGUUGGCCCCUUACCGGGGUUGCGGACAGUGUCUGGUGGGUAGUUUGACUGGGGCGGUCUCCUCCCAAAGCGUAACGGAGGAGCACGAAGGUUAGCUAAUCCUGGUCGGACAUCAGGAGGUUAGUGCAAUGGCAUAAGCUAGCUUGACUGCGAGCGUGACGGCGCGAGCAGGUGCGAAAGCAGGUCAUAGUGAUCCGGUGGUUCUGAAUGGAAGGGCCAUCGCUCAACGGAUAAAAGGUACUCCGGGGAUAACAGGCUGAUACCGCCCAAGAGUUCAUAUCGACGGCGGUGUUUGGCACCUCGAUGUCGGCUCAUCACAUCCUGGGGCUGAAGUAGGUCCCAAGGGUAUGGCUGUUCGCCAUUUAAAGUGGUACGCGAGCUGGGUUUAGAACGUCGUGAGACAGUUCGGUCCCUAUCUGCCGUGGGCGCUGGAGAAUUGAGGGGGGCUGCUCCUAGUACGAGAGGACCGGAGUGGACGCAUCACUGGUGUUCGGGUUGUCAUGCCAAUGGCACUGCCCGGUAGCUAAAUGCGGAAGAGAUAAGUGCUGAAAGCAUCUAAGCACGAAACUUGCCCCGAGAUGAGUUCUCCCUGAGACUUUAAGUCUCCUGAAGGAACGUUGAAGACGACGACGUUGAUAGGCCGGGUGUGUAAGCGCAGCGAUGCGUUGAGCUAACCGGUACUAAUGAACCGUGAGGCUUAACCUUACAACGCCGAAG
rnacentral:rRNA from 2 species